rnacentral:lncRNA from 1 species
CUCCCCAGAUGCUUCACUAAGCAUGUUGCAGCCACUUGGUCUCUAAGUCAUGUGGGCUCACCUAACAGUUAUUGCCCACACUUCUUAGUUAAGCCCGACCCACCAUUCACAAGCAGGUGCAAGGUCAUCAUUGGAUCCCACACCUAAUAGGUAUUGGGUCCAACCCCAUUCCUAUCUUGGAGCAACUCCUUUCUAAUAGAGUGAUUGUGCAUUCUCAAUGCAACUGAACCACUGUGAUCAGUCGAGAACAAUCAACACCAGUAACACGCCAGCACAUC